CACAAAAUUGCAAAGGAACAUUGUACAUGCAUAAUUGGAUGGGGGGAGUGGACAUGAUGAAGGGAGCGCUCUAUAUAAAUCUCUUAUGAGAAGAAGAAGCACAGAUUCCAGUCUUUCUGGGAGUUUACUGUGUUUCUACCUCUCAUCCAGAAUAAAAUGUUACUUGGAGGAGCUUCUACCCAUAAGUUGACUGACUCUCGCUUACUGAAUUUAAAUGGUUGCAGCCGUUUAUCUCCCCAGUCUUUUCUUUUACAAUUGAGGGACUCAUGUGAAUUUUAUGUUUCAGUUUUACUGACAAACUCCAACCCUAAAAUUUCAGGAACAUAUGGGUAGGUUCCUUUCUGUAGUCCUAGAACACAGUUGUUAAAGGGAGGAUCCAAGUAAAAAUUGCCUGUAUUUUUGAUCCUGAAUUUUGUUAUACCCUUCUUUUAAAAGGCACAAUCUGCAUGUUGUUUAUGGUCAAUAGACCCAAUAACCCAAACUGCUUACUCAACCAGAACAGCCACAGCCCUCUAGUAAUUUUUUUAAAAAAAUCCAUUGUCAUUUCAGCUUCUUUUUAAAAAAAACAACCACACACACUGUUUAUCAGCUUGCACAGAUGAAGCUUUAAAGAUGGGUUGCUGAUGACUAAAGAUGCUCGCAGUUAUGCCCUAGCAAGCUAGUUAGCCAGGUCCUUGCUUCUCAGGUUGCCGUUGCCUUUAAAUCCAGGGUAAGGCGGUGUCUGUUGCUCCCCACAUUUCUGCUAUUUAAAGCAGUUUCACUUGUCAAGACAGUAGGGCCCCUCCUGCUACUGCUGCUGCCUCAUUUCUUCCUCUCUCUCUCUCUCUCUCUCUCUCUUUACCUUCCAGCUCACUGCCUCUGUUCCUGGGGGCCUCGGGAGGCUUUAACAAGCUCUAGAUUGUUAGUGACAGUCAGACACUUUAACACUUAAAGUAGAAGGUUUGAUUUAAUCGCAAGGCUGUCAUUUAUUAUUUGUCUGCUGUGUUCCGCUGGGGCGCCCGCUGAUCAACUGCCUGCUCCCAAGAGUGCUUUCUUUUCCUUUCCUCCCCCCCCCCUUUUUUUGUUAUGUCUAAAUCCUCAAUACAAAUUGCAGAGUUUCUGCAUCUCCCAGUGGGACCCAUUACCGCCUGUGGGGCAUUAAGGAUCAUUAAUAGUGCUGUCAGCAAGCUAGCCAGUUGGUUAGCUUCUCAUAAAUAGGAAAUUAAUCCAUCUACUUCAUUAAUAAUGCCGAGUGUAGCUAUUUUGUUGCUCUCGGUGUAACGGAGGCCCCAGUUGCAUGUAUGUAAUGUGAUAAGACAGGACUCCAAAUUAGCAUAGAAUGUCUGAUUCAAGAGCACAGGCUCAAUUACUUAGAGAAAUGUUGUUUUAGGUUUUUUUGGUGUUUUUGUUUUUGUUUUUACAAAGAAAUAUUAUUGCGAACAAUUUUAGACAUCCUUCAGCAACAAGGGGUGCUUCCAGAUGACCUAUUUAUUGAGUGUCAUCCUGAUUUGUUUGCAGGGAGAUCAGACAACGUUGACUGUUUAUUGGGCAUUUGUUCCAGUUCGUUUGUGGGGAGGUUAGAUGACACUGCAUCAAAACAAGCUUUAUCCCACACUUUCCGGUGCAUUUUCUUGUCACUUUCCUUAUCUCAAAAAGUCCAAUUUUGGGGGGAAGCAGGUUUUUUAGGAACAUAGGAAUCUGCCUUAUACCAAGUCAGACCAUUGGUUCAUCUAUCUCAGCACUGUCUACUACACUGACUGGCAGGCGCUUUCCAGGAUUUCAGAUGGGGAAUCUCUCCUAAGCCUACCUGGAGAUGUAGGCGAUUGAACCUAAGACCUUCUGUAAUGCAAGGCAAAUAUUCCCCUAAAGACUUCCCAAUCAACUACAAUUCUGCAAUCUGAAUUUGCCAGUAUGCAAUUGAAUCCUACCUAAGCAUUAUGACUGUCCAAGUGACCAAGUUAAAAUUGCAAAAGGAGGGGGGGAUAAGAAGGGUCCCAGUUGACUUCAUUGUUGUUGUUUGAUUAGAGAACGUGAUUUGUUUUAGUGUGUUGUUUUAGUGUGUUGCCAUGAAGAAGCAGAGGAGAAAAAGAAGGCUUCCAAAACGUGAGGCAACCUUACCCAGGAACAGGUACAAUGCUUUGUAAUUAGGCUGAGGCUCAACACAUCAUAUUCCUCCAGCAUUUCCUGCCCUGAUUUUAUAACUGUAGUCCUUGAAGGAUAAUUAAGACCUUGAAGGAGUUGCAUGGAGCUCUUAGUUUUGAAGGAGGUUGAAACACAGAUGAAAAGAAAUAAAUGGAGGGGGGAGCUUGGUCACCAACCCACCCCUGUGGUGCAACGCAUAGUGCUCAGUCAAACUGAACGUUCCUGACACUGUCAGGAAGCAUGUCAGCAAAGGUCACAAGAGCAGUGCAGUUCUACAGAAAACAUUGAAAUUAGUCCAUACUUGUUUACACAAAGAUACAGAGCAGUCAGCCCAUCCAAAUGGCUACUCCCCUGGAUUUUAAUCAACCCAUCCAUUAAUAAAUAGGUUAAAUUUAGAUUCAGGUACAAAUUGCUAACCUCAGUGAGUGUGCAAUAUAAAACAACACAGGAUGCCACAAAAUGAUGCAGUGUGAAAUGUUCUUGUUCAGUGUUCCAGCCAGCUAGCCAUGCCCUUUUCUGAGA